CAGGAGAAACCAACAAAAAAAAAUGUAUUUACAAGCAUACCCUCACUCAAUCAUGUACUAGUAUAUCCAUCUUGGCCAACCUUGCAAAUCCAUUCCACCAUUUUGAUUUUCCCUUCAAAAUCUUUGAACAAAACCUCUCAACAAUGGAAAAGUUAUCAACCAUUUCUCUGUGGCACUUGUCAUUGCAAAGCUUAACCUCCAUGAUGAUGAAAGUUACAUUACACUGUUCGAGUGAGGAAUAUUGGAGAAGACUAUGGGACACGCACAUAACAAAGAUCACUCACUCACAUGAAAAUGGAUCUAGUCUAACAUAA